AUGUGGGAAAGGCUAAAUCAAGAUAUUGCAGUUAACGUCUCUGGAGGAAAUUACAAGAAAUAUACAGUUACCAUUGGCUCUGCCACAGCUGCUUCGACGUUCCUGAUUAUCCUCAUGCUUUGGACAUUCCUACUGGCAGUUGAGCGAUUGAAAAAGGAGCCCAAAUACUGUCUCGGGCCUGAUGGCCUGCACUCUGGAUCAGGUCUGGUGACGUUAGUCCCCCAGACCUCGUCUGCUGUCUCUGCCGGCUCCUAACACCCUGCGGCCACACACCCACCACAGCUCCACACACAGCUGAUGGCUCCUCUUCUUCCUCCUCUUCUUCCCCCAACUCCUCCCAGGUGUUUUGGCUCACACUAAUUCGCUGUAUGAACACCUUGACCUCAACCCCAGUC
rnacentral:lncRNA from 1 species